UACGGGGGGGGCAAGCGUUGUUCGGAAUUACUGGGCGUAAAGGGCUCGUAGGCGGCCCGUUAAGUCGAACGUGAAAUCCCCGAGCUCAACCCGGGAACUGCGUCCGAGACUGGCGGGCUCGAAUUCGGGAGAGGGAUGUGGAAUUCCAGGUGUAGCGGUGAAAUGCGUAGAUAUCUGGAGGAACAUCGGUGGCGAAGGCGGCAUCCUGGACCGAUAUUGACGCUGAGGCGCGAAAGCCAGGGGAGCAAACAGG
rnacentral:rRNA from 1 species